rnacentral:rRNA from 1 species
UACGGGGGGAGCAAGCGUUGUUCGGAUUUACUGGGCGUAAAGGGCGCGUAGGCGGCCAGCACAAGUCAGUUGUGAAAUCUCCGAGCUUAACUCGGAACGGUCAACUGAUACUGUGCGGCUAGAGUGCAGAAGGGGCAACUGGAAUUCUUGGUGUAGCGGUGAAAUGCGUAGAUAUCAAGAGGAACACCUGCGGCGAAGGCGGGUUGCUGGGCUGACACUGACGCUGAGACGCGAAAGCGUGGGGAGCGAACAGG